UCUUCUUCCUUUCAUUUUUCCUUUUUCUUUCUCUUUUCUUCUCUUUUCUCACGCACCCACCAGCCUCCUUCUACCUUUCAUUUUAUUUCUUCUUCCUUUCUUACUCUCUUCUCCCCAUUUCUCUCUUCUCCUUCCUCACACAUGUUGAGAGAGAGUAGACCGAGACUGAGAGGGUGAGACACGGAGAUGGAGAGACCUGCGUGAGGACCCGAUCAGUGGGUCGUUGCCGGUGGGUCGGCGAUGACAGAACCAGUCGACACCGUCGGAGCUGGGGGCGCGAUUUUCGGCAAGUGACGCCGGUGAAGUGAAUAGGGGCGAUUUCUGGUGAUUUUCUGGCGAUCCAAGGCUGUUUCCGGCAUGUUUCAGUAGAGUUUUUCAGUGGGUCUACCCAUUGCUCCGGCAGUUCGGUCUGGGUCCUCGGCUUGAACCAAAUUUCCGGUGGGUUUGGCCAUGGGCAGUGGGAUUUUCGAAGGUAUGGUGGCUGAGCCACCAUCGGGUCAUGGGAGGCAGCGACUAGGACUUGGAUUUCGGCCCUAAUUCGGGUCGUGUCAUAAUUGGAGACUUCAAUGGGUUCUCUAAUGUAGAGUUCGAGUCGUGAGUCCAAUGCAGCCAAGAUGAUGUUUCUUUGGCUGCAGGUAUUCCGGUCGUAGUAAAUGGUGUUGUAGAAGUAUACUGAGGAUAUUAUGACUGAAGCUCAACACGACGGUUGUAAUGUGUUAGACCGCGGGAUGUCUAUUCCUUUAGGUAUUUUGAUUAUGGCUUGUGACGCUUGUGCCACAUGAUCUUUGUUAAGCCAUUUAUGUUAUGUAUUUAAUUUGAGGAAGAUUUAAUCAUAUAGUUAUUUAAUGGCUCUUUGUUGUAAUUAUUUGUGAUAGAUGUAUAAGAUGUGAUUUCCGCUAUUAGGUUAUGUUUUCCGCUGCAUAGUUGAUAAAUGUUAUACUCUGAUUUGCCAGGUACAUAUUAUGGGGUAUGUACAUAUGUUGGCUUUGCGACA